UUUGUUUACUAGAACAAUAUAAAAUAUAAGUUAGUAUUGCAUAUUAAGCAUAUUGUUAUUUUUGUGAUUAUAUGCUCUCUAUGUUAACCAAAUUUGCAGCCUUCUAAAUCCAGUCUAUUUUGUUUCUUUCUUCUUCCUUGUCCAAAGAUAGUGUUUUGUUUCAUAUUUACAUGUUUUUUGUCUUAAUUUACAGAUAUGAAUCUUAUCUAUUUUUUGGUGUGCUUGAAAUAAAAAUUAUGAUACUAACAUAUUGGUAGAUCUUCUUGUCUUGCAUUAUCUCUAAGGUAUAAAGAUGUUUCAUAUGGUAACUUCUUUUAUUUUUUAAUCUGAGUUUGGGUUGGAAAAGACUUGUUUUUUUUUAUCCAUAGUGUUUCUUCAAUAAGUUGUUUGAUUUAGUUCUAAAAGUUCCUAUAGAUUUGUGAGUUUCGACUUGCUUUUGGUGUAUUGAAGUUUAAUUUAACUUUUCUUUUCUAUUAAUUGGACUUCAGGAUAAAGGAUUUUUCCUCCAGCUUAUUUGUAUUUGUUUGUAUUAGAUAUAGGUGAUAAGUUGUUCUAGUCUAUUUAGGCUAGUGUGUGGUUGUGGUUUGUUAUUACAAGUUUUUAAUUCUAUUGUGUUUUUCUUCAUAGUUGUAUUCUUUCAUGUUCUGAUAGUUUUAGAAUUCAUAUUUGAGUUACAUCUAUUAAUUUUGUUGAUUCUUUUCUACUUAGGGUGGUGGAUUCAGACUUAUUUAUAAUAGGUUAUAUAUAUAUAUAUAAAUAUAAAUAUCUAUUAAUUUUGUUGAUUCUCUUCUACUUAGGGUGGUAUUCAUUUUUUUUUGCCAAUGAUGUUAAAAUAAUGAGAAUGCUUAUUAUGUUGGUAAUUACAGGACUUAUUAUGCUCUUAUAUUAUUAAAGGCAUACAAAGUGUCGUAAAUGCCCAUAAUAGGUCAUUCUUUUUCUUUGUGAAAUAUUUAUGAUGAUUAAAUUGAGGAUAUUCUAUUAUUAAAUUGGGAAUUUUAUUAUAUUGUAAUUCACAACAUCAUUGGUCUCCCGACCGUCUCAAACUUUGUCAACAUUCUUACAAGGGAAUAUCAUAGGACUGACUUUUAAGGUGGAUGCCUAGAUUUAUUAGGAAGAAUAUUGAGAAAAGAAACAUGAUUGAGUUUGGAGUGAUUUGGAGAAGAGAAUUAUGCUGUCUUGUUGAGAUUUGUUGUAUUAUAUAUUUUGAAGUUUAUGGAUUUAUAAUAUUAUAAUGAAUUUUUAUUGAGAAUUAUUUAGUCUCAUGGGGAUUUGAUGUAUUAUUUAUAUUUCAAUUGUAUGAAUAAAUGUUGUAUGUAUAUGAA